rnacentral:rRNA from 1 species
CAGUCGCCGCGGGAAUACGAAGGGUGCAAGCGUUAAUCGGAAUUACUGGGCGUAAAGCGUGCGUAGGCGGUUUGUUAAGUCUGCUGUGAAAUCCCCGGGCUCAACCUGGGAAUGGCAGUGGAUACUGGCAAGCUAGAGUGUGUCAGAGGAUGGUGGAAUUCCCGGUGUAGCGGUGAAAUGCGUAGAGAUCGGGAGGAACAUCAGUGGCGAAGGCGGCCAUCUGGGACAACACUGACGCUGAGGCACGAAAGCGUGGGGAGCAAACAGGAUUAGAUACCCCUGUAGUCCCUGUCUCUUAUAU